AACGAACGCUGGCGGCAUGCCUAACACAUGCAAGUCGAACGAGACCUUCGGGUCUAGUGGCGCACGGGUGCGUCACGCGUGGGAACCUGCCCUUAGGUUCGGAAUAACUCCCCGACAGGGGUGCUAAUACCGGAUAAUGUCUUCGGACCAAAGAUUUAUCGCCUUUGGAUGGGCCGGCGUUGGAUUAGCUAGUUGGUAGGGUAAAAGCCUACCAAGGCGACGAUCCAUAGCUGGUCUGAGAGGAUGAUCAGCCACACUGGGACUGAGACACGGCCCAGACUACUACGGGAGGCAGCAGUGGGGAAUAUUGGACAAUGGGCGAAAGCCUGAUCCAGCAAUGCCGCGUGAGUGAUGAAGGCCUGAGGGUUGUAAAGCUCUUUUACCCGGGAUGAUAAUGACAGUACCGGGAGAAUAAGCUCCGGCUAACUCCGUG
rnacentral:rRNA from 1 species